CUAAUGGCGAACGGGUGAGUAACGCGUUGGUGACCUACCCCAAAGUGGGGGAUAACAGAUCGAAAGAUCUGCUAAUACCCCAUGUUGUCAUUGUGCUCAGAAAACAAUGAUUAAAGGAGUAAUCCGCUUUGGGAGGGGCCUGCGUCCCAUCAGCUAGUUGGUAGGGUAAUGGCCUACCAAGGCUAUGACGGGUAAGGGACCUGAGAGGGUGGCCCCUCACAAUGGAACUGAAACACGGUCCAU
rnacentral:rRNA from 1 species